rnacentral:pre_miRNA from 1 species
AUUUUGUGAGAUUAAGUGUGAUGAUGCUGGCAUCAUUAUUCAUUAUUUAUUUUAUUUUAUUAUGAUGCCAGCAUCAUCACACCUAAUCUCC